GAACGGAUUAUGUGAUUAUUCACAAUUGCAUAUGUCUCAUAAUAGAGGCAAAGCAAUUAUUAGCGACUGAAUAUGGCUCCCAAGAGGAGCAGUGCGAUAUUAUAGUGAAUAAUAUAAUAUUAUUAUAGUGAAUAAGAAAAAACACGAAGCUUUUGAUUUCAGUUGGUUAUAAGCUCUAGCUAUCUCUCUCCCAAUUAAGUUUUAUUUGCCACUGGUUUGUUUGUUCUAGAGCAAAGCCACAUUGGGUUAUCUGCUGUGCCCACUGCGUGGAAUCAAACCCCGGAUUUUAGCAUUGUAAACUUACCGCUGGCCCACCGGGGAACUAUUUGACACUUUUAUUAAAUGUCCAGAGUGUUCGAGCAAAUCCUUCACAGACUUCGGCAGUGGUAGUGUUCAUCGUCACGUAGGAGACUCACGUCUUAGGCACCGACUACUAUGAUAGAAUUGUUUUAUCAACACAGAACCCUCGAUCAAAUGUAUAGAACUAAAAACCUCACUUUCAAAGCUCAAGAACCCAUUUUGUGAUUAUCGAGUCUAUCCAAUCACGAGCGGAGAUUAGGGAGUGGCAAGUGGGUGCAUUGCCCCUAAACUGUCAACGUAUCACCAAAAGUUGAUAAGUCCGUAAGGGAAGACUCUUCAUGGUACCUAUUAAUCCCCAUUUCCCCCCCUCCAAUGUGAAAGUCAGUCUACACCUUUGUACCUAAUAUGGAAUUACGAAGACUAGAUUGUUCAUUGAUUUCUUUACGUCAACUACAUGUCAUCUAACGUUUGUGCUAAUAAGAAAUAUAUAUAUUUUUAAAAGAGCGUGUUGAUUAUUCGAAUAAUAUACAUUUUCGACUGUAGCAAGUGUAAAUUAAUCUCCAGAAAGAGAAAAUGAACAUCAGUACGUUAUCAUAACGCGAUAACUUGCUUUACAUGCCUAUCAUAUAUUAUCAUAAUUAUUUUUAGUACUUUUAUUUUAUUUCUAUUUUAAUGGUGAGUUCUAAAGUUUCUUUAAAAAAUGAUAAAAAUAAUCAUGAGAAUGAUUCCUAUAUGAAAUCAGGUUGAUUGUUUUGAUGUAUAUAAACAUAUUUUAUUCUCCUGUGUAGGGGUCAUAUUGCUUUUGAAUUGCUUCUAUUUCUUCUUCAGUGUGGUCCUCCAGCGGAAAGUCUACGGACUUACAACGCUAAAUGCCGGGGCUCGAUUCCCCGCGGUGGAUACAGCAGAUAGUCCAAUGUGCUCUAAAGUUCUAAACAAAAAAAUAACAUUUUGUUCUUUUUCAGUGUAGGGGUCAUAUUGAUUUUGUUAUUCUUGUGUUUCUUGCAUAAUUGAUCAUAAUAUUAUACUUUCAUAUCUGUCAUAUUUGCUUUGAUUGCUUUCAUGGAGCCUUGAUGUCUUUAUAUAUCUUCCACAAAAUUUAUCGUGACAGUUUGUUAACCCUAGAAUGGCAUUUCAAGUCUCUAUUACCAUAAAGUUACAGCUCGAAUACUGACUGUUUUAAUCUUAUUUGUUUUGUUUGGUGCAUUGGAUGUCAUACUAACAGUAUAACAUAAAUUGUUAACAUGUAUCAUCAAAAUUCAUCACUUUUCGGUCAUUUUCAAACAUGAUAAUUAUUCUUUUUUUUUAAAUUUUUGCCAGUUUAUAUGGUCUCAGAAGAAUAUAAAAUCAUUUGAACGAGUUUACAAAACUAUUACAUUUUUUUUUGAAUUACUGUACCAAAAUCAGUAACCUUCAUUGUUGAGUGGCUAUAGAAAAAUAAGUAACUCUUAUAUUUAAGUGAUUUUACUAACAUCAGUAAUCUGUACUUCUAAUUACUUUAAUGUAAUAGCUUUUUCCUUUAAAUAUGAGUCAAGAUUUUAUUUAAAUAUGUACCGCGGAUUUCACUGACAAGUAAUCUUUAGAUUUUCAUGCUUUAAUUAAAAUAUGUUGAUCUUAAGUUUUAAGCACCUUGAAAGUAAGUAAUAAUAAUAAUAAUAAAACAAUAGAAAAAUGCUAUUGCCAGGAGUUUCAAGUCAUUCUAUGAAAGAAGUAUUUCGGUAUCGUAUAAACAGUUUCUCUUACAUUUUCAAGUGUUCCUCAAGUGGAAAACUUCUGAGAGUUAUCAAGAAAUGUAAUUAGAGUAAUGUAAAGUAUUCUUCAUCGUACAGCUAAAUCAUUAUAUUUUAUUGAAAACCUCUUUUUUAAUGCUUUAUCAGCCAGAAAACGUAAAAAUAAAUAAAUACUGAAUGAAAUAAAAAAGUGGGGAAAAUGUCA